UCUUUCAAUUUAUAUUCGAGCAAAUCCAAAUUGAUAUCCGAUAUCAAUGAAGCGCGUUGAUAUAGGGUCAUUUUUCGUCUAUUCACGUGUUAAAGUAAGGACAAAUUUGGAAUUAGAAAUAAAUGCCCAACUUUAUACCAUUUUGGGACUACCGUUUUGGUCUAUGUUGGAUGUUAACGUCGUUAAUGUUAUUUUCGAACCGUUUUCGAACCCUAACAUUAUUGGAGUUUUCUCUCUCUUCCGCGACGAUGUGUCAGUAAUGGUUAUUGCUACACUUCUCUUGCUAAACUUCUCUCCAAUGAAACUGUAUUUAUUUUGAUCAAAAACGAGUUGUGCUUGGUAGAAUGAAGAUUGUUGGUGUCAAGGAGAGCAGCAAUGACCUCAAUUGCUUUGAUGACGACGGAGUGGAAGUUGAAUCCGAUCUGUAAAUUAAGGUAUUUUUCGUUUCAUGUGUUGGUGGAUUAUAAUUAAGGUAUUAUUCGAUUCUACAAUUGGUGGAUUAUAUGCAUUGCGGAGACAAUGUAUUUGUGCUUUUAUUUUUUUUCAAUUUGAAGCAGGGGAAAAAACUAUAUGUAUAAUUGUGUGUAAUCGAGUUGUUGUGUUCAUUAGGUUUGGUUCCUAGGUAUAUCUCUUAACACUAAUGGUCAGAAACCUGCAAGAUUUCCUCAAUCUGUAAUUAAUCAAGUGUAUUGUGUUAUCAGCAUAAAAUUGUCGAUGGAAGAAAUUGUUUAAAGCGGAAAUCAAUUGCUAGUUCAGUAGGUUGUAUUAAACAGGUUUCUGGGUGUUACAAACAGCCACCAUUGAAGACUCUAUCUCCCGAAAUUUUUAAGGAUGAGUCAUUGACUAUUGGUGGUCAAGUUAAAGCAAGAGGUCAGGUAUUAAAGAGACGAGAUGAAGCUAGAUGUCGGGUAAGAUGUGUUGUGAUAUAGGUUUUUGGAAAUAGUUGAUGGUUGUUUUUUAAUUAAAUUGGCUAUUUUUAAUAUGUUUGGUUGACCAUGUUGUGCAGCCUCCAAAUACUACUUGUCAUGUCGAGACCUUUGGGAGAAUAUGUGACAGGGUAGAGUCGUAUCCCCUAAUCAAAAAUAAUUAUCUAAUUCACUAAC